UUUCUACUCCCUCCGUCUCAUAUUAAAUGACUCAAAUUUUUCCAAAUAUGGAUGUAUUUAUACUCAAAACGCGUAUAGAUACAUUUAAUAUUUCGUCACUUAAUAUGAGACGGAGGAACUAUUUU
rnacentral:pre_miRNA from 1 species